GUGCCAGCCGCCGCGGUAAUACCGGCAGCCCGAGUGAUGGCCGAUCUUAUUGGGCCUAAAGCGUCCGUAGCUGGCCGAACAAGUCCGUCGGGAAAUCCACGUGCUUAACACGUGGGCGACCGGUGGAAACUGCUCGGCUUGGGACCGGAGGACCCGAGGGGUACGUCCGGGGUAGGAGUGAAAUCCUGUAAUCCCGGACGGACCGCCGGUGGCGAAAGCGCCUCGGGAGGACGGAUCCGACGGUGAGGGACGAAAGCCAGGGUCUCGAACCGGAUUAGAUACCCCAGUAGUCC
rnacentral:rRNA from 1 species